GUUUUCUAAAUUUGGCUUUUGCCCUUUGCUAACUUAUGUAUUCAACAACUAGAUUUAAAAAAAAUGUUUUUACAGUGGUGUACUUAAGGAUGCUAUAGGUACAAAGUUUGAGCACUUAAAUACAGUGGUUAUGCAUAUACAGAAAUACAAGAAAGGCAAGUAAUGGCUAAUAUUAAAAUGAUUAUAAUGCAUACCUAUUCCUUUGCAAGUCUUGCAAAUUGUGGAAUAUUCAGGAAGGGUAAGAACGGGGAGAGUAUACAAAGACAACAGGAAGAAAGCGAUGAGCAAAAAAUUCCAUAUGCGCGGAAGAAAAUUUGAAGAGGAGCUUAUUUAUGAGGUUCUGAAUUUCACUUAUACAAACACAUCUAAAAAUGUCUCCAUCUCAAGUGAAUUAAAUGACAAAGAAAAUGGUCUGUCUAUUACAUUUGAUUCAUCCAUAAUGAAUGCCAACAUGGUCAAUUCUAGACACCAGGCCAAUAAAGUAAUAAGUAUGGACAGAUUAAGGCAGACACUGCUAUUUCCCCAACCCAGCACAAUAAAAGUUAUACUAUCCCCCUUAGGGUGCCUGUCAGACUGAGAGAGCUGACUCUGAAGAGUUCCCUGCCCAUUUCUAUAACAAUGAUUCAUCAUUCUUGCCACAACAGAUUGGAUCGGUGUUGGACAUCUGACUACAGGUCUUACGUGUGCUAAGGAAAAGCUGCUUCUCAGUUCUCACUUCAGCUGGCAAAGCAAAACUUCAGUAGAUACAGUUACUGCAGCAAAGAAGGAGCCACCUGCUUUCAUUUGAAGUUUGCUUUCAUAGGUGUGAGGGCAGCCUGCUACCUCAUGUCAGCAUCCAUUAUAAGGCACCAUGCAAAGUGACAUGACACAGAAUGACAGCUGCAGCCACCUCAACAUGGCAUCCGUGAAGCUGAUAUCGACGAGGCUGCCGUUACAUGUGCUCCACAUCCUAGCUGAGAAAAAAUGGAGAAAUGCUCAGAAACUAUGAAUGAAUGCAGAAAAACACCCUAACAGAAACACACAACUGAGUUGGCUUUACCAUUAAGGAUUUCAUUAAGAUCAAAGGAACCUGUUUCAUCCAUCUUAAACCUUCACCUGGCGAGGUGAUUUUUAUAAAUCAUAGUCUACUUUUAAAGUUAUGCUUACUAGAAAACAGGUCACAAUGUUACCCGGGAUGUGGGGGAUACACCAGGAGGGAGUGGAGGAACAUACUUGCAAAAACAUCCGCAUUCCCCUUUAGUGGAUACAUUUCUUGCUCCAGUUUUUAAGAAUCACUGUUUGGAGACUGGUUUACCCGUUUCUGUAUGCCAAAGACAACAAACAAUCCACUCCUCGGAGUCCAAGAACUCAAGAUACCGCUUGCAACUAUUCAUGUAAAAGGCAGCUAGACAUAAGGGCCUGUGUUUCCUCUCUUGAUAACCUAGCCUUUUUAUUCCUUUCACUGAGGACAACGCACCAGAUUAAAGCACAUUAAAAGAUAAGGCAUUCAGUACCAUUAACUCUCACUGUGGACAAUGUUUAUCUUCAGGUUGUGAGAAAUCUGCUAAAAAACAUAUGCAAUGUUGGCAUGUUUUUACUUACAAACCUUUGAUUUUUUUAACCUAGAAUGUUGGGAUUAGCUGAUGGCUCCUUUCCUUAUUUACAUUAUUUUUGCAGUUUUUUUAUUUAAUCGGUAAAUGGUUAGUAUUCCCAGGGCCUUCCUUACCACCCACACAUAUUUGCUGACAUAGUAACACUGACAAGGAAAUAAAUGCUUAAAGAACUGUGGGCUGGAAAUGAACUUUACAUGCCCUUAACCACUUAGCUAGACUCAAGUAAUGAAGCAUCAAAAAGCAAACCCAUCAGUUAGGUUUUGUAUGUGAAACAGAAAAAAUACUUAGUUUAACUUGUUAUCUAUAGAAGCAUAACACACCUAAAAUAAAGACGAAUGUUUUUUGUUUGUUUUGUUUUGUUUUGUUUUCUGAAGGACGACAUCAUAAUCCUGAAGCUCUGCUGGAAUUCUAGCUUCCGAGGUUUGGCUGAGGAAUGCCGUUGGAGUCCUCCUCUCUCUGGAACAAAGGUGCUGCCAUAUUCCUGGCGAUAGCCGUGGUGGAAUCAGAUGGAGAAUAAACCAUUUUCCUGGAAACAAUUCUACUUUGACUAAAUGAGAAACAAAACAUAAUUUUUCAUAUUAUUUCAACAGAAUAUUGCGUGCAAAAACUUCUAGUCAUUUUUAAUAGGCUUAGUGGAGUUAGCAAUUCUCUAAGUAAAACUUACAAAAGGACAUCUCUUUGAGGCAGAGAUUGGAGGCUCUGAAGAAAGGGCACUGGUGGGUAAGGGUUGAAAUUGGAAUCAUUACUGGCCCGUUUCUUUCUCCACUGUACCAGGUGAUCUGGAGCAAGUUCAAGGGCAUUGACAUAGGGUGGAAAACAAAGAGGGUCAAACUUUUAGGGGCAGCAAACGGAGGGGCAAGGAACACACAAAGGAGAAAAACCCAAAGCCAUAGCUGUGCAAUAGAAGCCAAUUUACUUGAGGUGCUACUACAAAUGUUCAUUUUUAAGAAUGCCAUUUUCUGCACCUAGCAUCAGACCGAGGAUAUGAGACUUGUUUAUGGAAUCCUCAAGAAAAGAGUGGAAGAAGCUGUUUAUUGAAAUCUCUUGUCUCACACUUGGCACCAGGACAUGCCAGGUUUAAAACAAUGUUUGCCUGAAGGUAUCCUUUUCUGAUCCAGCAUAGUUACUUACAUGUUGCCUGCUAGGUAUACUUCUCAACUGUUUUAACAUUAAUGUGUUGAUAAUAUUAAUAAUAAUAGAAGAAUUUGCAAUAACAACUGUCAUUUAUUACAGCAAUACAAUUUUUGAAAUAAAUUUUAAAUAGAUCAUUCUAAACACCACAGCCUAUGCAUGUGGAAACUGACCCUAAUAUAGCUUAGCCCUAUUAAGGAUUUUGCAAGGUAGCAUAACCAGUUAGUGGAAUAACUAGUAUAUGUGUCCAAUACUCCAGACUCAUGACCCCAAGCCCUCUGCCGCACGUCUUCUAAUCUUUCUAAAAGUAGCAGCAUUUAAAUUAUUUUUGUCAUUCAGGAAUGCUUAUUAAAUAAAUUUCAAUCACAUAUUUAAUAAAUGUAAAAAAUACCCAAAGCUUGAUUGUCGAAAGUGUUC
rnacentral:lncRNA from 10 species